GACGAACGCUGGCGGCGUGCUUAACACAUGCAAGUCGAACGGUAAGGCCCUUCGGGGUACACGAGUGGCGAACGGGUGAGUAACACGUGGGUGAUCUGCCCUGCACUUCGGGAUAAGCCUGGGAAACUGGGUCUAAUACCGGAUAGGACCACUGCCUGCAUGGGUGGUGGUGGAAAGCUUUUGCGGUGUGGGAUGGGCCCGCGGCCUAUCAGCUUGUUGGUGGGGUGAUGGCCUACCAAGGCGACGACGGGUAGCCGGCCUGGGAGGGUGACCGGCCACACUGGGACUGAGAUACGGCCCAGACUCCUACGGGAGGAAGCAGUGGGGAAUAUUGCACAAUGGGCGCAAGCCUGAUGCAGCGACGCCGCGUGAGGGAUGACGGCCUUCGGGUUGUAAACCUCUUUCAGCACCGACGAAGCGCAAGUGACGGUAGUAGCAGAAGAAGGACCGGCCAACUACGUGCCAGCCGCCGCCGUAA
rnacentral:rRNA from 1 species